AAUAAGGUGGAUGCAAAGAAAAAGAUUACUCAAAGGAAAAACGAAAUGCAUGCGAUGCAAGAAACGCAUGAAAAUGGUGAUCUCUUCUUGUAAAGAUGGUUACAUCUGGCAGUGCAAAAAGUCAUGCGGACGAAAGAGAAAAAGCAUUAGGACCAACUCAAUUUUUUCCAAAUCCCAUGCAAGCCUUUUUAGUUGGAUGAAGUAUAUACACAGAUUUUCACAGGGUCUUCAUUUGAGACAGGUGGAUAUGAUCCAAGAUAACAUCUCAAAGAGUAGUGCAACUCUGUCCAAGAUGUCCAUGAAAUUGCGCAGUGUAUGUGUGAGAAGUAUGCGAAGGUUCAGGAAAAAAAGAGGGCAAAAAGUUGGUGGGCUCAAUGUAUGUGUACACAUUGAUGAAAGCAAGUUUCGCCACAGACGAAAAUAUGGGAGAGGGCGUUUGGGGGGUGCAUGGAGAAGAAAAAGCUGGGUAUUCGGAAUGGUUGAGAUUUUGCCCUCCCGAAAACCAGUACUGCGGUUGGUGGACAAACGGGACAAGACAACCCUCUUACCAAUCAUUGAGAAACAUGUAAAACGAGGCAGCAUUAUUCAUAGUGAUGAAUGGCGUGCAUACUCAAGUCUUCCAGAGAGAGGAUAUCAACACCACACAGUGAACCACAGCAUUAAUUUUGUAAACCCAUUGACAGGGGUACAUACACAAAACAUUGAAAGGGCAUGGACAAACUUCAAAAGGGAAGUGUGGAGGUUGCGUGCA